rnacentral:lncRNA from 1 species
CUGGGAGUUGGUCUCCUAGCCAUUCAUCAACACCAGUCGAAAGUGUCAGAGGGGAUGGUGUUGGGAGUGAAGGGGGAUCAACUUUCACGCCUGGCAUGAUCGAGUCUACCAUAGGUCCAAGGGAUUUAGAUUUAAUCCAGGCUCGAUUUAAAAUUUCGACUUCCUUCAAGUUGAAAUCUCCGAUCGCUGAUGAUAGGAUUG